GACGAUGAUGACGGCGACGACGACUAUAACAACAACAACAACAAUAACAACAACAACAACAAAAACAAUAACAACAACAACAACAACGACGACGGCAAUGAUUACAGCGAUGACCACAAUGACAGUGAUGAGAACAACGACAACAACGAUAACAACAACAACAACAACAACAACAACAACAACAACAACAACCGCAACAACAACAAC
rnacentral:lncRNA from 1 species